rnacentral:sRNA from 1 species
GCGCUGCGUUCAUGCCCUUUCUUGUUCUGCCUUUCUUGUGUGCCCAGUCACACCGGGUAGGUGCCCGCAGGGCCUUCAUCGGCCGAGGUAAAAGUGCUGAAACCAUGUGAAUAAAUACAGGUGGACACCUGCGCGGGUGUGUGCCCUCCAGCCCCUGAAGCAUGGCCAGCAGCGGCAUGGCUGACAGCGCCAACCACCUGCCCUUCUUUUUCGGCAAUAUCACCCGGGAGGAGGCAGAAGAUUACCUGGUCCAGGGGGGCAUGAGUGAUGGGCUCUAUUUGCUGCGCCAGAGCCGCAACUACCUGGGCGGCUUCGCCCUGUCCGUGGCCCACGGGAGGAAGGCACACCACUACACCAUCGAGCGGGAGCUGAACGGCACCUACGCCAUCGCCGGCGGCAGGACCCAUGCCAGCCCCGCCGACCUCUGCCACUACCACUCCCAGGAGUCUGAUGGCCUGGUCUGCCUCCUCAAGAAGCCCUUCAACCGGCCCCAAGGGGUGCAGCCCAAG